AUCUGUCUCAUGCCUGUCUCUGGGAAGUCCACUUGGACCGACUUUGGUCUAGAGGCCUUCAGGUUCCAGGUGAACCUACGGUGGAAAUCCAACCACGAUGUGCUGACUGGAACCGACCACCAACCGCAUUCCUCGAUGGUUGGGGGCAAGAGAAUUCCACUGAAACAGGGUUGCCGACUUUCAACAAUAGCGCCUCUUCACAAUUUUGCCUUCCCUCGGUGCACACUUUGCAUGAUGAGCCUUUGGCCAGCCUGCUGAUGUUGACAGUGGUAUCUCCAUCAUGGAUGAAGGUAAACGACUGGAUCCCUGGAAAUGAAGCCCAUUGCACCAGAAUGUAUGCUUUCACUUUCUAUUCUCUAAAGAUUUCCGAAACGUUUCAUUUGCAAUGGGACGCUUUUUAGUCAUGAUGAGGUUGAGAUUGAAAAUACUGCUGGCAUGGCUUAAAUAUUCAUCGCUUGUGAAAUCAGUAACUGAACUGCUAUGAUCAAGUUUCCGUCGAGUGAAAAUAUAUUCUAUAUACCCAUCCAACUAGUUUCUAUCGACUGCUUGGUUAAAAUGGAUUGGUCAUUCACACUCAUAUUCAAACUUGUGGGUAAUUUAGGGUCUUCACUGAAAGUAAAAUGAAAGUUUUGGAAAUGUGGGAAUAAGAUGGAGGUCUUGG